rnacentral:rRNA from 1 species
UAGGGAAUCUUCCACAAUGGACGAAAGUCUGAUGGAGCAACGCCGCGUGAGUGAAGAAGGGUUUCGGCUCGUAAAACUCUGUUGUUAAAGAAGAACAUAUCUGAGAGUAACUGUUCAGGUAUUGACAGUAUUUAACCAGAAAGCCACGGCUAACUACGUACCAG